rnacentral:rRNA from 1 species
CCAGACUCCUACGGGAGGCAGCAGUGAGGAAUAUUGGUCAAUGGCCGGAAGGCUGAACCAGCCAAGCCGCGUGAAGGACGAAGGUGCCAAGCAUUGUAAACUUCUUUUGUCAAGGGACAAAAUCAGGCUCGAGAGCCUGACCGAGGGUACUUGAAGAAAAAGCAUCGGCUAACUCCGUGCCAGCAGCCGCGGUAAUACGGAGGAUGCGAGCGUUAUCCGGAUUUAUUGGGUUUAAAGGGUGCGCAGGCGGAAGAUCAAGUCAGCGGUAAAAUUGGGGGGCUCAACCUCUUCGAGCCGUUGAAACUGGCUGUCUUGAGAUGUCGAGAGGUAUGCGGAAUGCGCAGUGUAGCGGUGAAAUGCUUAGAUAUUGCGCAGAACUCCGAUUGCGAAGGCAGCAUACCGGCGGUAAUCUGACGCUGAGGCACGAAAGCGUGGGUAUCGAACAGGAUUAGAUACCCCAGUA